CCUCCCUCUCUCCCCUCCUCUCCCUCCCCCACCUCCCCUCCCCAGCCCCACAGCAGCAGGGAGACAAAGGGAGGGGCCGUGGGGACUCUCCAACUCUGACCCCUUCUUGGAUGCACAGACUCAGAGCAGGGUCUUCUGGAGGGGCCCUGCUUCCCUUCAACCCUUCUGCAGAUACCCACUUCCCAGGGCGGAUGGCACCAGCUGCGUUUCUUUUUACUUAUUCAUUUAUUUAGAGACAGGAUCUCAUCGUGUUGCCCAGACUGGAGUGCAGUGGCACAAUCACAGCUCACUGCAGCCUUGAACUCCGGGGCUCAAGCAAUUUCCCCACUUUGGCCUCCUGAAUAGUUGGGAUUACAGGCACGCGCCACCACACCCGGCUACUGUUUUAAUUUUUUGUAGAGAUGGAAUAUCCCUUUGUUGCCCAGACUGGUCUUGAACUCCUGGGCUCCAGCAAUCCUCCCUGCUCAGCUUCCCAGUGUGUUGAGAUCACAGGCAUGAGCCACUGCACGUGGCCCCUUUUCAUUUUAUUAUUUUUUUUGGGAAGAAAUUCGCAUAACAGGAUGAGCCAUUUCCAAGUGAGCGACUCGGCAUCUGUCGCACUCAGAGUGCCGUGUGACCCCCGUUUCUGGUUUCAAAACUCUUGCCAGGCGUGGUGGCUCACACCUGUAAUCCCAGCACUCUGGGAGGCCAAGGCAGGCAGAUCACAAGGUCAGGGGUUUGAGAUCAGCCUGGCCAACAUGGUGAAACUCUGUCUCUACCAAAAAUAUAAAACAUUAGCUGGGCGUGGUGGCGGGCACCUGUAGUCCCAGCUACUCAAGAGGCUGAGGCAGGAGAAUGGCG
rnacentral:lncRNA from 1 species